rnacentral:lncRNA from 1 species
AAACGGUAGAAGUGUAGCGGAGCCCACGUGGACCUUCACAUUGAGGAAGAUAUUAGAUGGCCCGUGUGGACACCAGAGUCUCAGGGUCCCCUGGUCUCUUAUUUAGACAUCUGGUCAACAUCCAUUUAAAGGAGAAGGUGCAGGAGGGUGUGGGAGCGUGUACCAGCCUGCCCUUCUGUGAAAGACCUUCUGUUACUGUGGAGCCAGUCGUGGUCAGCCAGCACCUAAAGUGGACACAGAACAGGGGCGAGGACCUGCACAGAGCGGCUGUGGUAUGUCAUUCCUCGUGUCUUCAGGUGAUCCUCUGUUAAAUGGUGAAGUGACGUCCACUUCUGGAUGCUGAUGUGAGGGUCACAUGAAGCAAUUAGCAUGACGCAUGUCCCCAGUCAUCGGGCCAUCAUCACCCUCAUCCUUCAAAGCAACCCUUCAUUUGCAUCCGCUGUUUACAGAGUGCAGAGUUAGACACUGCGG